CUGCCUUUGAUGUCCUGCCCCCAGCUCGGAGCCUCCUGAAGGGAAUUCCAGGGCUGCCUGACAGCUGUGGGCAUCUCCCAGUGCAGGCAGGCACCAGCCACCAGGGUUACAGGGCUCCCCCUAAACCCGAAUCAGUGCCAGCUUGUCUGUGACAUCCUGGGUGUCCCCAAAAUCCGAGGCACGCUGGGGAUGGGGAGGGAGCAGCCUCGCACAUCCCCGCACGCCGAUCGCUGCUCGGUGGGAAAGCGCUGAUGGAGCAGCAGCGGGCAGGAGCUGGAAGGCGAUGCUGGAAGCAGCAACGAGGAGUUUCGAGGCUGAUUUUGGGAGUUUCGAGGCUGAUUUCGGGAGUUUCAUGGCGUUUGCCCGGGGUGGAACGGGAGGGGAGCGCUGCUGCCCCAGCCCUGCCCGAGGGCACCGGCGGCGAGCAGGACCAGGGGAUUCGGAUGAUGGGAAGCGUUUUCCACGGGCGUUCCACUGCUGUCAGCCAUUUUAGCUUCUGAAUCCUAUUUCCCUGGUGCUUCCGAGAGAGGCUUUUGGGGGAGUCCCCAGCUAAAACUCAAAUUUGCAUUUAAAUGGAGAUUUUUUUUUUUUUUUUUAAUGAGCAGGAUGCAUGGGAGACUAAGACUAUUAGGUUUCCUUGUGGGAGAGUGCAGAAUUCUCUCACCUUUUACAUCCCACCCCCUCCCCAGCCCCUUUAAUGCACACUUUAAAUUAGACAUAAAAAAAAAAAAAAAGGAAUGGUGCGUCUUUAAGGAGAAUAUAAUCAUAAACAAAUAAGUCUGGUUGCCCUUGCAGCAGAACUAAUCUUCCCUCA